GGGUAGGGGUGAAAGGCCAAUCAAACUAGGAAAUAGCUCGUACUCUCCGAAAUGCUUUUAAGAGCAGCCUUAAAUCUAUACUAGCAGAGGUAGAGCUACCGAUAGGAUAGUGGGGGAUUCAAAUCCCACCGCAUCCAGACGAACUCCGAAUGCUGCUAGUUCUGUUUAGGAGUGAGGGCUAGGGUGCUAAGGUCCUAGUCCAAAAGGGAAAGAACCCAGACCAUCAGCUAAGGUCC
rnacentral:rRNA from 1 species